UCGAGGAUUUUUCUCAAUGGGGGAAACCCUGAAGGAGCGACGCCGCGUGAGGGAUGAAGGUCUUCGGAUUGUAAACCUCUGUCAUCUGGGAACAAAGUGCUCCACCUAACACGUGGAGUAUUGAUAGUACCGGAAGAGGAAGCAGUGGCUAACUCUGUGCCAGCAGCCGCGGUAAUACAGAGACUGCAAGCGUUGUUCGGAUUCAUUGGGCGUAAAGGGUGCGCAGGCGGAUCGUUAAGUCGGAUGUGAAAUCUCACAGCCUAACUGUGAUAGGUCAUUCGAAACUGGCGGACUCGAGGAUUGGAGAGGAGACUGGAAUAGUCGGUGUAGCGGUGAAAUGCGUAGAGAUCGACUAGAACACCGGUGGCGAAGGCGAGUCUCUGGACAAUUCCUGACGCUCAGGCACGAAAGCCAGGGGAGCAAACGGGAUUAGAUACCCGGGUAGUCC
rnacentral:rRNA from 1 species